UCCCACAUAGCUCAGUUGGUAAAGAAUCUGCCUACAAUGCAGGAUACCUGGGUUUGAUUCCUGGGUUGGGAA
rnacentral:tRNA from 1 species